rfam:Calypte anna contig3942, whole genome shotgun sequence.
CCAACGGCUCUUUUAAGAGCCACCCAAAUACUCUCAAAGAGAGCUG